rnacentral:rRNA from 1 species
GACGAACGCUGGCGGCGUGCCUAACACAUGCAAGUCGAACGGAGAUUGCAUUUAUGUAAUCUUAGUGGCGAACGGGUGAGUAACGCGUAGACAACCUACCGCUUAGAUGGGGACAACACUGGGAAACUAGUGCUAAUACCGAAUGUUGUAUUGAAGCUGCAUGGUUUUGAUACUAAAGAUGGCCUCUGUAUAUGCUAUCGCUAAGUGAUGGGUCUGCGUCUGAUUAGAUAGUUGGUGAGGUAAUGGCUCACCAAGGCGACGAUCAGUAGCCGGUCUAAGGGGAUGAACGGCCACACUGGGACUGAGAGACGGCCCAGACUCCUACGGGAGGCAGCAGUGGGGAAUCUUCCGCAAUGGACGAAAGUCUGACGGAGCAACGCCGCGUGAGUGAAGAAGGUUUUCGGAUCGUAAAGCUCUGUUUUCAGGGACGAAUGUGCAGAUUGUAAAUAAUGAUUUGUAAUGACGGUACCUGAGUAGAAAGCCACGGCUAACUACGUGCCAGCCGCCGCUGUAA